GAUUUUCAAAGGUGGUUAAGUGCAGCAUUUUUCAAAAGCAUCUGAAUUAGUUGGCUGCUCAGCUUUUUUUUCAUACCUACCCACCUCCCAAGCUUUGACAAAAGCAAGCAGAGGAUUCCCCUUCCCCGUUCAUGGCAGAAAUGGGGGGAAAAGUUAGACAGCAAAGCCUCUGUGCUGGUUUCCAAAAAGAUGAGUAAGCUUCCUUUGGCUGCCCUGCCUUUUGGCUCCUCCAAGCUAAUGCUGCAGCAGACUUCCUGUUAGAUCCUUGAUUUUAUCAGAUUAUAACUUGUUUUCCCCUGGCAAUGCUUUAAUUCUUUCUACUGCAUUGGGUUGUCAUUGGCUUUUCUUUUCAGGGUCUCAGCCCUAUUAUGUAACAGCAGCAGCAAGAAAAAAAAAAAGAGAAAAGAAAAAAUAUUUCAGAUCUGUUUCUACUUCUGGAGAGGAGCCUUUGUGCACAAUUACUCAUCCAAGAGAUUCAGCAGGGAGAAGCAGAGCUGGAGCACAGAGGAGACAGAUGCAGGCAAUCUCUGCUGCAGGAGCAGGGAGGAUGAGCAAGGGGUGCCCUGACAGAAAGACACCUGCUGUAUUUUAAACAUGGCUAAACUUCCCCAGGACAAGCUGGAGUUGUUGUCUGAGCUGGAACGUGGCUCUCCCUCUGUUUUCCAUCCUGCAAUAUUCCCAUGUGUGCGCUGAGCGCUCACCCCCCAACACCCACACUUCAAAGAGCCACAUGCCUAACCCUGUUUGAGUUUCUGUGGAAGUCUCUGUUCUUGUGCAAUGUCUGAAGGAAGCGAAUUUAGUAAUAUCACAACUCAAGCCAAACACAAAACCAAGCAAAGGAUCCCCAAAUUAAAAAGAGAAUCUCAACCCA